AUGGCUAGAGAAGCAUGUGUCUCAGAAGCCACUGAUGUGAUUAAAUGGGGUCUGGGUGGGAAAACCUCAUUUACCACUAAAUCUGUUUACUCUUUCCUGGAAAGGAAUAUUGCUGGGUGCGACUACAGAUGGAUCUGGAGUGCCAGGAUACCUCUUAAAAUUAAAAUCUUCUUAUGGUAUUUAUUUCAGGAUGUUGUCUUGACUAGAGAUGUGAUGAAACAUCGAGGUUGGAAAGGGAAUCCCAAAUGUUCUUUUUGUGGUGGGUGAGAGACCGCACAACACUUGUUCUUCGCUUGCCCUGUUGUCUGGGUGACCUAG
rnacentral:rRNA from 1 species